rnacentral:lncRNA from 1 species
CUGACUCCUUGGAGGGUGGGGGUGGGGGGAGGUGACAAAUGGAAAAGAGGGGAAUAGGGGAGACAGGGAGAGAAAGAGGCAGAAGAGCCGCUUCUCCUGUGGCGCUGGCAUUACACAGACUUCGGUCCACGUGUUGGCUCUGCCAGGUACUAACGGCCAGACUUGACCAUGCAAGGACGAAGUCAGACACCACUUGGAGUUUCACAUCUUUUACCCUGAAAAAGGGGAUAAUGACAACAGGUUGUUGUAGGGAUGAAAUGAGACGAUGUGUGUAAAGCAUCUGCUUUUCCUUCUCCCCAGCUCUCUGUCUUCUCACCUGCCUCCCGGGCCCUCCUGCGCUGAGUGGAAAGCAGCCGCUCCUGGCAGCGCCCAGGGGGCUGCAGUCAGCAUCUCACAGAGGAAACCAGUCUGCCCCUGACUUUCUCUGUGUGAUACAAGGGCCAUUUUGUUGAAGACCGUGUUCUGCUGACUCCUAAGAAGCGCCUCUCACCCCGACAGCUCGGGCGGACUUCAGCCACGGAGCCCGGGACCGGGUCGUCCUCCGGAGCAGCGUGCCGGACCCCGCGCUGCCUCCUCCCAGCCCCUCGGGUGCAGACGGGACUCCCGCCGGAUACGGGUCCUUGGAGGAAACGGGAGAGAAAUUCCACUUUGGCUCCAGCGAUCCGGCCCACAAAGGAGCCAGGGAAAAAGCUGAGCGAGAAGAGCGACCGCAAGCCCCCUUGCCGGAUUCCGGCAGACGCCACGGGGAGAAUCGGGAACAGAAAAACCUGGGCCAGAGAAGAAAGGGCCUUCGCGGAGCUGUGCAGACACAACGCAAGAACACAUGCAACCAGCGCAAGGCAAGGCCGGCUGCGCUGCCUUAGAAUUCAGAGGAGAAGGCGCUCACCGCAGGCCGGGGCGGGCAGGGGAGGCAGCCUUGACCUCAGCCCUGAAGACCCGGCGCUCCUGGCCUCCUUCCCCGCCUCGGCAUCACCUGCUGCUGGAUUUCACCUUAAUAAUAGCUGGUAG